GGUCUCUGAGCUGAGGCUGGAAGAGGGACAAAGCAGAAAACACAAAACGGUGAAGGAGCUGAGACAGGCCUGACGCUACAACGAAAAGCCCCAUCAACUGCCAUGGAAGAAGCCACACAAAGUAUGAGACGACAGUGAGCACCUCCUUCUGUUGGUGAUGAUGGUCAGAGAAAGGCUGUACAAAAAGUGCUGCACCUCGCAUCAGUGAGAGCUGACCAAAAACCAUGGAGAACUUUAUGGGCCAAGUGCUUUGUACAACAUGAGGAAACCUGCUGCUCUCAACAAAAGACAAGCCUGUGUGGGGGCUGAUUUCAUAUAAACUGGGCCAACAAACUGCAUCAUGUUGUUUCUUGUUGAAUGGAAGCCUCUCUGAUGGUUCAAACAAUAAAAGGGACAUUAUUUUCCCCA